UCAUUCCAAAUUGAUAGAACGUUAACAUACCUCCACUCAAAAUUAACUCAAACAGUAAGUAUAUGAGAGCCUCAAGUACAAGGGAUAAACACAUAAAUUGAACCUUACAUACAUGAAAACGAUUACUGCUGCUGAGUCGUUAGAAUUAUCCACCAAGGGAUUCAUGGAAUCUCUAUGGAUUGCAUUGGAGGAGAUCUACCAAAGCUAGGGAGAUAGAUAGACUCAUUUCCCGCUACCAUGGCUCUUGGCCCAGACAACGUCCUAGUCAUAGAAGAUCGCAGCAACGGGGAAUAUUGCCUGGACGACGUUUUCGUUUUUGGGCUGCAGUUUGUAGAUCGAGAGGUCGUUCUGCCCCUUGUCCCUGAAUAUGGAUAAUUGUUUCUCAAAAAAUCUCCUCUCCAAUCCUCGAUCCUUGCGUUCCCCGAGCUAGGGAUCACUCUCCUGGAAACAACCAUGUGAAUAAAGGCUAGCAAUCCAAUCCAAAAGAACCUAUUUCUUCCCCAACUCUUCGAUAGAAUAUUCAUAUGGUUCUCACGCGUAGUGUUUAAUAAAUGCUAUAGCCUCUAGGACUUAUUUAAUGUGUUUAUCUCUCCUCUUUGAAAUUUCAAGAACUUGAGGGAGUUUAUCAAUCUACCAAAUAUUGCCAAAUACUGAGUUAAUAUUAUAUUAUCUUAUUUAUUAGAGGUGUUCAAUCU